rnacentral:rRNA from 1 species
GACGAACGCUGGCGGCGUGCUUAACACAUGCAAGUCGAACGGAAAGGCCCUGCUUUUGUGGGGUGCUCGAGUGGCGAACGGGUGAGUAACACGUGAGUAACCUGCCCUUGACUUUGGGAUAACUUCAGGAAACUGGGGCUAAUACCGGAUAGGAGCUCCUGCUGCAUGGUGGGGGUUGGAAAGUUUCGGCGGUUGGGGAUGGACUCGCGGGUUAUCAGCUUGUUGGUGGGGUAGUGGCAUACCAAGGCUUUGACGGGUAGCCGGCCUGGGCGGGUGACCGGCCACAUUGGGACUAAGGUACGGCGCAGACUCCUACGGGAGGCAGCAGUGGGGAAUAUUGCACAAUGGGCGGAAGCCUGAGGCAGCAACGCCGCGUGCGGGAUGACGGCCUUCGGGUUGUAAACCGCUUUCGCCUGUGACGAAGCGUGAGUGACGGUAAUGGGUAAAGAAGCACCGGCUAACUACGUG